UCAACAGAUUUUUCAGUGCUGAAGACAGCAGGUGCCCCCGGGGCUUAAACAUCCUGCCGAGGUUGCUGCUCUAUGUUUCGCGAUUGCCCCGUAUGGGGGCUUCCGAAUCGAAGCUGCUGGACCUCGGAAUUCUCCGAGGUCUUUGCAUUUGCAGCC
rfam:Rubidibacter lacunae KORDI 51-2 KR51_contig00151, whole genome shotgun sequence.